CCCAGCAGGCACUGGACGUCAAUAUAACGUCAUACUGACAUUGGAUCCCAACGUUGGACAGACGUUGUAAUUUGGUUGAAAAUGAAAAUCGGGUUGACGACAGAACCCAACGUCAGACUGACGUCAAUCUCCAACGUUGGUAAGACGUUGCAUUUUGGUUGAAAAUUAAAAUCUGGUUGACGUCAGAACCCAACGUCAGACUGACGUCAAUCUCCGACGUUGGUAAGACGUUGCAUUUUGGAUGAAAAUGAAAAUCUGGUUGACGUCAGAACCCAACGUCAGACUGACGUCAAUCUCCGACGUUGGUAAGACGUUGCAUUUUGGAUGAAAAUGAAAAUCUGGUUGACGUCAGAACCCAACGUCAGACUGACGUCAAUCUCCGACGUUGGUAAGACGUUGCAUUUUGGAUGAAAAUGAAAAUCUGGUUGACGUCAGAACCCAACGUCAGACUGACGUCAAUCUCCGACGUUGGUAAGACGUUGCAUUUUGGAUGAAAAUGAAAAUCUGGUUGACGUCAGAACCCAACGUCAGACUGACGUCAAUCUCCAACGUUGGUCAGAUGUGGUAUUUAGGAUGAAAAUGAAAAUCGGGUCGAUGUUAGAACCCAACGUCAGACUAACAUCAAUCUCCUUCAUCUGACAGACAUUGCAUUUUGUUGGAAAAUUAAAUCAAAAUCAUUAUCUGUCACAAACCAACAACUGUCAAAAUUGUCAAACUGUCAAACUCAAACUUUAAAAUAAGAUAUGGCUAGUAUGGAUUGUGUUGACAUGACAUCAAACCUUUAACAGAGACAGGAAUUUUGUUGUAAAAUAAAAAUCAACAUACAGAGAGAGAAAAGAAAAAUAAAAACAUACAGAGAAAGUGUAACAUCAGAUCAGAUAGAGUUCAAGAUUCAAUGUGAGACAACACUAAAUGAUUAAAUUUUAAAGGGUUAGUUCACCCAAAACUGAAAAUUAUGUCAUUAAUGACUCACCCUCAUGUUGUUCCAAACCCGUAAGACCUUCAUUCAUCU
ensembl:lncRNA